CACAGCUGCCGUUCCCUGGAGCCCUCGGGCAGCCUGUGAGCAAAUCAACCAACCCACGGUGACGCCCUACAGGAACAACCUGGCAGAAAUCAAAAGGAAGAUGGCACCCGCGUUCACCAGUUCUCCAGAGGAGGAAAGAUCUGGACCACCACAGCCACAGAUAAAAGGAAAGAGAAGCAAGCAGAGAGUUGGGAACCUCAUACCACCAAGAAAGCAGUGCUGGGAGCAGAGCACGUCCUUUGGACCUGAGGUUCCUGCACUGAGAUGCUCCGAGACCAAGGGGAGAUUGAUG